rnacentral:rRNA from 1 species
AUACGUAGGGUGCAAGCGUUAAUCGGAAUUACUGGGCGUAAAGCGUGCGCAGGCGGUUUUGUAAGACAGAGGUGAAAUCCCCGGGCUCAACCUGGGAACUGCCUUUGUGACUGCAAGGCUAGAGUACGGCAGAGGGGGAUGGAAUUCCGCGUGUAGCAGUGAAAUGCGUAGAUAUGCGGAGGAACACCGAUGGCGAAGGCAAUCCCCUGGGCCUGUUCUGACGCUCAUGCACGAAAUCUUGGGGAGCAAACAGGAGUAGAUACCCUGGUAGUCCACGCCCUAAACGAUGUCAACUGGUUGUUGGGUCUUCAUUGACUCAGUAACGAAGCUAACGCGUGAAGUUGACCGCCUGGGGAGUACGGCCUCAAGGUUUAAACUCAAAUGAAUUGACGGGG